rnacentral:rRNA from 1 species
AGUGAACGCUGGCGGUAGGCCUAACACAUGCAAGUCGAACGGCAGCACAGUAAGAGUUUGCUCUUACGGGUGGCGAGUGGCGGACGGGUGAGGAAUACAUCGGAAUCUACUUUUUCGUGGGGGAUAACGUAGGGAAACUUACGCUAAUACCGCAUACGACCUACGGGAGAAAGCAGGGGAUCUUCGGACCUUGCGCGAUUGUAUGAGCCGAUGUCGGAUUAGCUAGUUGGCGGGGUAAAGGCCCACCAAGGCGACGAUCCGUAGCUGGUCUGAGAGGAUGAUCAGCCACACUGGAACUGAGACACGGUCCAGACUCCUACGGGAGGCAGCAGUGGGGAAUAUUGGACAAAGGGCGCAAGCCUGAUCCAGCCAUACCGCGUGGGUGAAGAAGGCCUUCGGGUUGUAAAGCCCUUUUGUUGGGGAAGAAAAGCGGCAGGUUAAUACCCCGUUGUUCUGACGGUACCCAAAGAAUAAGCACCGGCUAACUUCGUG